GGCGGACGGGUGAGUAACACGUGGGAACGUGCCUUUAGGUUCGGAAUAGCUCCUGGAAACGGGUGGUAAUGCCGAAUGUGCCCUUCGGGGGAAAGAUUUAUCGCCUUUAGAGCGGCCCGCGUCUGAUUAGCUAGUUGGUGAGGUAAUGGCUCACCAAGGCGACGAUCAGUAGCUGGUCUGAGAGGAUGACCAGCCACAUUGGGACUGAGACACGGCCCAAACUCCUACGGGAGGCAGCAGUGGGGAAUCUUGCGCAAUGGGCGAAAGCCUGACGCAGCCAUGCCGCGUGAAUGAUGAAGGUCUUAGGAUUGUAAAAUUCUUUCACCGGGGACGAUAAUGACGGUACCCGGAGAAGAAGCCCCGGCUAACUUCGUGCCAGCAGCCGCGGUAAUACGAAGGGGGCUAGCGUUGCUCGGAAUUACUGGGCGUAAAGGGCGCGUAGGCGGACAUUUAAGUCAGGGGUGAAAUCCCAGAGCUCAACUCUGGAACUGCCUUUGAUACUGGGUGUCUUGAGUGUGAGAGAGGUGUGUGGAACUCCGAGUGUAGAGGUGAAAUUCGUAGAUAUUCGGAAGAACACCAGUGGCGAAGGCGACAUACUGGCUCAUUACUGACGCUGAGGCGCGAAAGCGUGGGGAGCAAACAGGAUUAGAUACCCUGGUAGUCCACGCCGUAAACGAUGAUUGCUAGUUGUCGGGCUGCAUGCAGUUCGGUGACGCAGCUAACGCAUUAAGCAAUCCGCC
rnacentral:rRNA from 1 species